rnacentral:misc_RNA from 1 species
AACAUCGCGCACCUGCGGGAACCUGCGGAAGGAUCAUUAUAGAGUUGCAAAACUCCCAAACCCAACUGUUUAUCUACCUGAAAAAUAGCAUUUGCUUCGGCGGGCGGUCCCAGGGCGGGACCGCGGCCUUUGCUCCUCGGAGCAGGGCGCCCGCCGGAGGAAUGCGCCAACACAACUCUUGCUGUCUUUGUAUCUAUGAGCCUAAAGACGAAUAGUCAAAACUUUCAACAACGGAUCUCA